rnacentral:rRNA from 1 species
AACGAACGCUGGCGGCAGGCUUAAUACAUGCAAGUCGAGCGGGCACUUCGGUGUCAGCGGCGCACGGGUGCGUAACGCGUGGGAACAUGCCCUUAGGUACGGAACAACACAGGGAAACUUGUGCUAAUACCGUAUAAUAUUUCCGGAUCAAAGAUUUAUCGCCUAAGGAUUGGCCCGCGUUAGAUUAGGUAGUUGGUGGGGUAAUGGCCUACCAAGCCGACGAUCUAUAGCUGGUCUGAGAGGAUGAUCAGCCACACUGGAACUGAGACACGGUCCAGACUCCUACGGGAGGCAGCAGUAAGGAAUAUUGGACAAUGGGCGAAAGCCUGAUCCAGCCAUGCCGCGUGAGUGAUGGAGGCCUUAGGGUUGUAAAGCUCUUUUAGAUGGGAAGAUAAUGACUGUGCCAUCAGAAUAAGCCCCGGCUAAAUUCGUGCCAGCCGCCGCAGUAA